GAUGAAGAACGCAGCGAAAUGCGAUAAGUAGUGUGAAUUGCAGAAUUCAGUGAAUCAUCGAAUCUUUGAACGCACAUUGCGCCCCUUGGUAUUCCGAGGGGCAUGCCUGUUCGAGCGUCAUUUUGACCACUCCCGCUUGCGGGGUCUUGGGCCUUCGCCUCUGGGCGGGCCUUAAAAUCAGUGGCGGUGCCGUCCGGCUCUAAGCGUAGUAAAUCUCCUCGCUAUAGGGUUCCGGAGGGAUGCUGGCCAACAACCCCCAACUUUUAAGGUUGACCUCGGAUCAGGUAGGGAUACCCGCUGAACUUAAGCAUAUCAAUAAGCGGAGGA
rnacentral:misc_RNA from 1 species